AUUGAACGCUGGCGGCAGGCCUAACACAUGCAAGUCGAACGGUAACAGGGAACAGCUUGCUGUUUCGCUGACGAGUGGCGGACGGGUGAGUAAUGUCUGGGAAACUGCCUGAUGGAGGGGGAUAACUACUGGAAACGGUAGCUAAUACCGCAUAACGUCGCAAGACCAAAGAGGGGGACCCUCGGGCCUCUUGCCAUCGGAUGUGCCCAGAUGGGAUUAGCUUGUUGGUGGGGUAACGGCUCACCAAGGCGACGAUCCCUAGCUGGUCUGAGAGGAUGACCAGCCAGACUGGAACUGAGACACGGUCCAGACUCCUACGGGAGGCAGCAGUGGGGAAUAUUGCACAAUGGGCGCAAGCCUGAUGCAGCCAUGCCGCGUGUAUGAAGAAGGCCUUCGGGUUGUAAAGUACUUUCAGCGGGGAGGAAGGGAGUAAAGUUAAUACCUUUGCUCAUUGACGUUACCCGCAGAAGAAGCACCGGCUAACUCCGUG
rnacentral:rRNA from 1 species